AGAGUUUGAUCAUGGCUCAGAACGAACGCUGGCGGCAGGCUUAACACAUGCAAGUCGAACGCCCCGCAAGGGGAGUGGCAGACGGGUGAGUAACGCGUGGGAACAUACCCUUUCCUGCGGAAUAGCUCCGGGAAACUGGAAUUAAUACCGCAUACGCCCUACGGGGGAAAGAUUUAUCGGGGAAGGAUUGGCCCGCGUUGGAUUAGCUAGUUGGUGGGGUAAAGGCCUACCAAGGCGACGAUCCAUAGCUGGUCUGAGAGGAUGAUCAGCCACAUUGGGACUGAGACACGGCCCAAACUCCUACGGGAGGCAGCAGUGGGGAAUAUUGGACAAUGGGCGCAAGCCUGAUCCAGCCAUGCCGCGUGAGUGAUGAAGGCCUUAGGGUUGUAAAGCUCUUUCACCGGAGAAGAUAAUGACGGUAUCCGGAGAAGAAGCCCCGGCUAACUUCGUGCCAGCAGCCGCGGUAAUACGAAGGGGGCUAGCGUUGUUCGGAAUUACUGGGCGUAAAGCGCACGUAGGCGGAUAUUUAAGUCAGGGGUGAAAUCCCAGAGCUCAACUCUGGAACUGCCUUUGAUACUGGGUAUCUUGAGUAUGGAAGAGGUAAGUGGAAUUCCGAGUGUAGAGGUGAAAUUCGUAGAUAUUCGGAGGAACACCAGUGGCGAAGGCGGCUUACUGGUCCAUUACUGACGCUGAGGUGCGA
rnacentral:rRNA from 1 species